rnacentral:rRNA from 1 species
AGUGAACGCUGGCGAUAGGCCUAACACAUGCAAGUCGAACGGCAGCACAGUGAGAGCUUGCUCUUACGGGUGGCGAGUGGCGGGCGGGUGAGGAAUACAUCGGAAUCUACUUUUUCGUGGGGGAUAACGUAGGGAAACUUACGCUAAUACCGCAUACGACCUACGGGUGAAAGCAGGGGAUCUUCGGACCUUGCGCGAUUGAAUGAGCCGAUGUCGGAUUAGCUAGUUGGCGGGGUAAAGGCCCACCAAGGCGACGAUCCGUAGCUGGUCUGAGAGGAUGAUCAGCCACACUGGAACUGAGACACGGUCCAGACUCCUACGGGAGGCAGCAGUGGGGAAUAUUGGACAAUGGGCGCAAGCCUGAUCCAGCCAUACCGCGUGGGUGAAGAAGGCCUUCGGGUUGUAAAGCCCUUUUGUUGGGAAAGAAAAGCAGCAGGUUAAUACCCCGCUGUUCUGACGGUACCCAAAGAAUAAGCACCGGCUAACUUCGUG